UACGAAGGGGGCGAGCGUUGUUCGGAUUUACUGGGCGUAAAGGGCGCGCAGGCGGCUCAUUUUGUCAGGCGUGAAAGCCCCGGGCUUAACCUGGGAACUGCGUUUGAUACGGAUGGGCUAGAGUUCGGGAGAGGAGAGUGGAAUUCCCAGUGUAGAGGUGAAAUUCGUAGAUAUUGGGAAGAACACCGGUGGCGAAGGCGGCUCUCUGGACCGAUACUGACGCUGAGGCGCGAAAGCGUGGGGAGCAAACGGG
rnacentral:rRNA from 1 species